GACGAACGCUGGCGGCGUGCCUAAUACAUGCAAGUAGAACGCUGAAGAGAGGAGCUUGCUCUUCUUGGAUGAGUUGCGAACGGGUGAGUAACGCGUAGGUAACCUGCCUGGUAGCGGGGGAUAACUAUUGGAAACGAUAGCUAAUACCGCAUAAAAUGGAUUAUCGCAUGAUAAUUCAUUGAAAGGUGCAAAUGCAUCACUACCAGAUGGACCUGCGUUGUAUUAGCUAGUUGGUGGGGUAACGGCUCACCAAGGCGACGAUACAUAGCCGACCUGAGAGGGUGAUCGGCCACACUGGGACUGAGACACGGCCCAGACUCCUACGGGAGGCAGCAGUAGGGAAUCUUCGGCAAUGGACGGAAGUCUGACCGAGCAACGCCGCGUGAGUGAAGAAGGUUUUCGGAUCGUAAAGCUCUGUUGUAAGAGAAGAACGAGUGUGAGAG
rnacentral:rRNA from 1 species